rnacentral:rRNA from 1 species
GACGAACGCUGGCGGCGUGCUUAACACAUGCCAGUCGAACGGAAAGGCCCUGCUUGCAGGGUACUCGAGUGGCGAACGGGUGUGUAACACGUGGGUGAUCUGCCCUGCACUUCGGGAUAAGCCUGGGAAACUGGGUCUAAUACCGGAUAGGAGCCAUUUUUAGUGUGAUGGUUGGAAAGUUUUUUCGGUGUAGGAUGAGCUCGCGGCCUAUCAGCUUGUUGGUGGGGUAAUGGCCUACCAAGGCGGCGACGGGUAGCCGGCCUGAGAGGGUGGACGGCCACAGUGGGACUGAGAGACGGCCCAGACUCCUACGGGAGGCAGCAGUGGGGAAUAUUGCACAAUGGGCGCAAGCCUGAUGCAGCGACGCCGCGUGGGGGAUGACGGCCUUCGGGUUGUAAACUCCUUUCGCUAGGGACGAAGCUUUUUGUGACGGUACCUAGAUAAGAAGCACCGGCUAACUACGUG